UUGAAAUGGAUUCAAAGGUGAGGGGGAGGGAAUCUGACCUUGAGAGGAAGGAGGAAAGGUGGUUAGUGUUUUUCCAUUUAGGUGUUUUUUGAAGGGCAGGGAGUCGAGCUUGCUUGUGGAAAAGAGAGAGAUUAGGCAUGGGAUGGAAUCCCAGAGGCCCCCUGCCUCCUGCUGCAGAGGUAUGGCUAGUUGCUAAGUUUGGAGUUUGGUUAGACAGGGAGGCCCCCAGGAGCCCUGACGUGGGGGUCAGGCAGGGCUCACCGAGGCUGUGGAACCUGAGGUCCACUGGGGAAUAAAGAGUGUCCCAGAAACUGGGCCUUCACAGCCCAGGGGUGGGGGGGAGUAAAGGCCUGAAGAGGCGAUGGCCAGGGAGGACCGUGGAGGGGCCCAGUCGGACACCUCUGGACGGUCAUUGGCUCUUUGUGAGUGUGCAGUGCAGAGUCUGGGGUGGGCUUGGGGUCAGUGCAGCCGGUGUGAGGAAGGAGGACUGGCCGCACAUCAGGAAGGAGCAAGGCCACCUGGACCCUCCAGCCCUUCACACUCAUCUCCCACAGCCUCGGACCAACGAUGACCUUCAGGGCGGAGCGGCAUUCGGUCACUUUGUCUCCCUGUUCCCACCCCAGACACCUUCCCUUUUGUCAGCUCUACUCUGAAACCAGGCAGGGAGGGGACUCUGAGGACCAUGGUUCCCACUGUUGCCAGGUGGGCCAGCUGGCCCUUGGAAACACAAUUGGAGUCCCACUCAGGAUCUAAAAUCUUCUAGGAGUCUCAUUUAAAAACAGGAAAAAGAAAUGGGAAAUUAACUUGAAUAAUAUAACUUCAUUCCGUAAGUCCACAGUGGUGUCAUUUGACGUGAGUUCAACAUGAAGAUUAUUAGUGAGACAUUCUACAUUAUUUUGUACUAGAUCUUCAAAGCUGGCCAGCGAGGCACAUCAGCGCUGCGGCGGAGCUGUUCCACCAAAUGCAGGGAAAAUGCUCUCGGAUCCUGGGCCGCCGGGCACGCAGGGCCUGGGGCCAGAUGUGCUACGCUGGCUCCAGAGCCUGUGCCCAGCUCAGGGCCUCUGUCCUCAUUGGUGAGCUCCUUACCUGCUCCCUGUCCAGUCCCAGUGAAGCCAACUGUGGCCCAAGACUGAAGCCCUGUGUGACAUCCCAGUAUAGACAUUGCCCUUUGUGAGGCCCAGGAUGUGUGCCCUGUUCUCAAGCUGGAGCGCUCCGACUUCAGAGACCCGCUGCCAGUGAUGUUGGAGGGCACGGAUGCCCUUCUCUGGGCUGGAUCAAGCUGAACCAGACCCAGGAGUGUUGGAUGUGGGGCUUGGUCAGAGCCAUGUGGGGCGUCUCCUCUGCCCCAGGCCCUCCUGGAUCCCCAGCCUUUGCCCCCAGCUGCCAUGAAGAUCCAGACCUUUGAGUUAGGCUUUGGAACAUGGAGACUUUCUUGGUGGGCCACGGGCAGGCGGUUAUCAGAUCGUCCACCUUGGUCUGGGAAGGUCAUGGUUCUUAAUGGUGGAGCUUUGUAGGGUGGGGGAGAGGAGGAGCCAUGCUGAAGAGAGGUCAGUCUCCACAGCACAGAGGUAGUGGCACCGGAGGCAGUGGGGUGGGGUGGCACGUAGGCAGCCCUUUCACAAUCCCAUGGGCUCCAGCCAGCCCUGUCAGCAGUGACCCAUUUUCUAGAGCAGGAUCCCUGGCGGGAGGUGCCCGGCCCUGUCAUUUCCCCCCUGAGGACUCCUGCCUGCCUUCGAGAAGUCUGUUUGGUCACAGAACCUUGGGGCAUUUCAUGGUGCUCCUUGGGUUCAGAGGGGCAGGAGGGCCCUCUGCUUCUCCCCUGCUUGGGCUCCAGGAGCCUGGCUUUGUUUACCAGCAUGAGAUUAGGUAACUCUGCCAACAGAACAAAGGCCCUGGCCUGCUGCCCAGAGGUUCUGGAAGUUCCAGGCACCAGGGCAGGAGAUGCGCACGUGGACCUGUGCAUACUCCAAACAGGCCAGGGAGGGCCAGCUGGCCGGAAACCUCGGUGGCCCAGGUCUGACCUAAAGGGCCCCAGGUGCCUCAGUACAGAUGUCAGUGGGUUCAGACUUCAGCCACUUUAAUCCAGAAGGCCAUGUCAAUUAUGUUCAUAAAAGCUGAGUGUUGGGAGGAAGGAGGAGCCCGGCCCCUCUUCAACAGCUUCUGGUUACACCCUAAGCUAAUCUGGUGAUCCAACAAGAGAGCUCGAACAAAUGGCAGGACUAUCUAUCUGUGUUUCCAUUUAAUAAUUUGAUAAUUUGCAAUACUUUUAAAAUGUCACAGACAAAAAGGGAAUGGUGAUCCAUGGUUUAUAAACCAUCUCCUGGGAGUGGUUAGUUCCACUGGAAGCACAAAAUAGACGUCUAACAAAGGUGAGCGGCUGACUCAGCCCCUACUCACUUCUUGCCUCUGUAGCCUAGUAGGUGGUCAAAUUGUUGGGUUUAAAUGCCUUUUAGGUGUUCUAGAUGGAAUUCCUGAAACGCAUCUCUCUAGAAGAAGAGAUGCAGUACUUAGAAAGGGACAGGAAGCAGACAACAUCUCCUGUCAUUGAAUGCUGUUUCCUGCCUUCUGAGUUUGUUUUUAUUUGUGGUUACUUAUCUUUUUCCUCCCUCCCACUUCUGUCAUCCAGUUAUCAAGUUCCCCUCCAUGGUUUCUUGUAUAUUUUUCCAAAAUACAAAUACACAGAUAUUUUAUAUGUGUGGGUAAAUACAU
rnacentral:lncRNA from 1 species